CCAGGCAUGUAUGAUGACGGAACUUUUUUCCCCAUCAGAUCGACCAUGUUGAUCUCACUCUUCCAAGCCAGUUUGUCUGACAUGCCUGC
ensembl:snoRNA small nucleolar SNORD12/SNORD106